CCUGAUGCAGCAACGCCGCGUGAGGGAUGACGGCCUUCGGGUUGUAAACCUCUUUUAGCAGGGAAGAAGCGUGAGUGACGGUACCUGCAGAAAAAGCACCGGCUAACUACGUGCCAGCAGCCGCGGUAAUACGUAGGGUGCAAGCGUUAUCCGGAAUUAUUGGGCGUAAAGAGCUCGUAGGCGGUUUGUCGCGUCUGCUGUGAAAUCCCGAGGCUCAACCUCGGGCUUGCAGUGGGUACGGGCAGACUAGAGUGCGGUAGGGGAGAUUGGAAUUCCUGGUGUAGCGGUGGAAUGCGCAGAUAUCAGGAGGAACACCNAUGGCNAANGCAGAUCUCUGGGC
rnacentral:rRNA from 1 species